UGAAAAUUGGUUGCACUAUAUUUCGAUGAAAUUUUAUUGUACUUUUUCCGUUCUAAAAUAUUUGAAGUUAAAAUUUUGUCCUAAAUCGAACUACUCUAAGUUUAACAAACUUUAUAAAAAAAUGUACAUAUCAAAUAUAUAGAGUAUGAAGAUAUAUGUCAUGAUGAAUCCAAUGAAGCUAAUUUUGUGUUGUAUAUAUUGGUAUGGUUUUUUACAAUGGUCAAACUAAAACAAGUUUGAUUUAGGACAAACCUAAGACUUCAAUUAUUUUGAAAUGGAGUGUGAAUAUUUGGGUUACGAAUAUGUGAACUAAAAGUCAAAGUACGUAUUAUAUACUUUAUUUGAUUAUUGUAUAGUUAGAAAAAUAUUUACUAAAUUUAAGUAGCAUAAUAUAAUCGGAAACCUUUUUUCAUGCAUGUUGUGGUGGGCCUUGAUGAGAUGACAUGUGUGGUGUGAUGAUAUGUGUGCGUCUUAAAGUAAAUACAAGUAGUGAGAUUAAGCAAUAAUAUUUUUUGGGUGUUUCUAGGGUUUAUUUAGAUGUGACAUAACUAUUUCACAUCUAAGUUCAGUUAACGUGUUUGUGGCCUCAACACUUGUUUCUUUGUCCCUUGUUUUCUUUGUUGAGGUUGGAUUGAUUCUCGAUCACAUGCAGGUGGCUACAACACAGAAUCUAACCAGUGCAUGCAAGUGAUCAUGUGUAGCAAAUCAGUAGCAUGCAUGCAUCGCUGACGUACCGAGGAGAGGAGGGACUUGAAGGAGUGGCCCGCGAAAGUUUUGGUUUUCUCCUUGCUGUUUUUGGUUUUUUUCCUUGUUGUUUUGGUUCUUUUCUUCUUUUCAGUUUAUUCUUUUUCCUUCUUUUUACAUUUUCUUUCCAUUUUAUUUUUUCUUAUGUAAAUCUACUUUCUUAUACAUUAACAUCCUAUUAAAUAUACCAUGAAUAUAUUUUCAAGCAUGGUGAAGAUUUUUUAAAUAUAUGCUGAACAUUUUUGUGAAUAUAGGAUGAACAUUUUUUAUAUACUAUGAACAUUUUACAAAUAUAUGGUGAGCAUUCUUUCAUAAUGUCGUGAACAACUUCUAAAACAAGGUGAACAUUUUUAGACGUAUGAUGAUUCUUUUUUGUAAUAUACAUUGAACAUAUUUUCAGCAGUAAUCAUGUGCAUUUUGUGUUCAUUUUGCAAAACAAUCACUUAGUCAAAAUUUGACAGCAACGUUGUACCUUCCUUUUUUGUUAGGCAUUUAUCUUUUAGAAUUCUUCCCCAGGUAGGUAUUUUUGUUCUAGAUAAAUGUGUGCCCAAAAAGCCAACACCUGAAUGCAACAAUAAAUAAACAAAAUAAAAAAAAUUGAAACUAUCAGCCAAAGCAGUCAGGAAAUUGGAGGAAGAACGCACACUAAAAAUAUGAAUACAAUGUACAAAAGAUGAAAUAAGUGUAAGGAAAGUUAAUGGCCAUAAAACAGUGAGCCCCGCCAGCAAAGACUGGUCAAUUUGACGCUAAUAGGCGUCAACAAGAAAAUUGACACCACCAAAUUUGGGGCAAAUAUAUCAAAGAGCUUAGUUGCAUGUCAAUAGUGGACUUGCGACUGAGACAAAAAAUUUGGUCAACCUAGUUGUGAGUCGAUAGUGAAUUUGUAGCUAGGAUAAAAAAGGGUCAAGCCGAGUUGUGAGUCGAUGGUGGACUUGCAAUUGGUCAAAAAAUCAUCGGGCCUAGUUGCGAGUCAAGGGUGGACUUGCAACUGAAGGAAAUAUGCCCUAGAGGCAAUAAUAAAGUAUUAUUUAUUUCCUUGUAUCAUGAUAAAUGUUUAUUAUUCAUGCUAGAAUUGUAUUAACCGGAAACAUAAUACAUGUGUGAAUAUAUAGACAAACAGAGUGUCACUAGUAUGCCUCUACUUGACUAGCUCGUUAAUCAAAGAUGGUUAUGUUUCCUAGCCAUAGACAUAAGUUGUCAUUUGAUUAACGAGAUCACCUCAUUAGGAGAAUGACGUGAUUGACUUGACCCAUUCCGUUAGCUUAGCACUCGAUCGUUUAGUAUGUUACUAUUGCUUUCUUCAUGACUUAUACAUGUUCCUAUGACUAUGAGAUUAUGCAACUCCCGUUUACCGAAGGAACACUUUGUGUGCUACCAAACGUCACAACGUAAAUGGGUGAUUAUAAAGGUGCUCUACAGGUGUCUCCAAAGGUACUUGUUGGGUUGGCGUAUUUCGAGAUUAGGAUUUGUCACUCCAAUUGUCGGAGAGGUAUCUCUGGGCCCACUCGGUAAUGCACAUCACUAUAAGCCUUGCAAGCAUUGUGACUAAUGAGUUAGUUGCGGGAUGAUGUGUUACGGUACGAGUAAAGAGACUUGCCGGUAACAAGAUUGAACUAGGUAUCGAGAUACCGACGAUCAAAUCUCGGGCAAGUAACAUAACGGUGACAAAGGGAACAACGUAUGUUUUAUGCGGUCUGACCGAUAAAGAUCUUCGUAGAAUAUGUGGGAGCCAAUAUGGGCAUCCAGGUCCCGCUAUUGGUUAUUGACCGGAGACGUGUCUCGGUCAUGUCUACAUAGUUCUCGAACCCGUAGGGUCCGCACGCUUAACGUUACGAUGACAGUUUUAUUGAGUUUUGAUGUACCGAAGGAGUUCGGAGUCCCGGAUGAGAUCGGGAACAUGACGAGGAGUCUCGAAAUGGUCGAGACGUAAAGAUCGAUAUAUUGGACGACUAUAUUCGGACUUCGGAAAGGUUCCGAGUGAUUCGGGUAUUUUUCAGAGUACCGGAGAGUUACGGGAAUACGUAUUGGGCCUUAUUGGGCCAUACGGGAAAGAAGGAAAAGGGCCUCAAGGGUGGCCGCACCCCUCCCCUUGGUCUGGUCCGAAUUGGACUAGGGAAGGGGGGCGCCCCCUUCCUUCCUUCUCUUUUUCCCUUCCUCUUUUCCUAUUCCAUAUGGGAGGUGGAAUCCUACUAGGACUAGGUAGUCCUAGUAGGACUCCACACUUGGUGCGCCCCCUCCUAGGGCCGGCCUCCUCCUCCCUUGCUCCUUUAUAUACGGGGGCAGGGGGCACCCCAUAGACACAACAAUUGAUCCUUGAGAUCUCUUAGCCGUGUGCGGUGCCCCCCUCCACCAUAUUACACCUCGAUAAUACCGUUGCGGAGCUUAGGCGAAGCCCUGCGUCGGUGGAACAUCAUCAUCGUCACCACACCGUCGUGCUGACGAAACUCUCCCUCAACACUCGGCUGGAUCGGAGUUCGAGGGACAUCAUCGAGCUGAACGUGUGUAGAACUCGGAGGUGUCGUACGUUCGGUACUUGAUCGGUCGGAUCGUGAAGACGUACGACUACAUCAACCGCGUUGUGAUAACGAUUCCGCUGUCGGUCUACGAGGGUACGUGGACAACACUCUCCCCUCUCGUUGCUAUGCAUCACCAUGAUCUUGCGUGUGCGUAGGAAAUUUUUUGAAAUUACUACGUUCCCCAACAGUGGCAUCCGAGCCUGGUUUUAUGCGUUGAUGCUAUGCACGAGUAGAACACAAGUGAGUUGUGGGCGAUAUAAGUCAUACUGCUUACCAGCAUGUCAUACUUUGGUUCAGUGGUAUUGUGAGAUGAAGCGGCCCGGACCGACAUUACGCGUACGCUUAUGCGAGACUGGUUUCACCGUUCGGAGCACUCGUUGCUUAAAGGUGACUGGCGGGUGUCUGUCUCUCUCACUUUAGUUGAACCGAGUGUGGCUACGCCCGGUCCUUGCGAAGGUUAAAAUAGCACCAACUUGACAAACUAUCGUUGUGGUUUUGAUGCGUAGGUAAGAACGGUUCUUGCUAAGCCCGUAGCAGCCACGUAAAACAUGCAACAACAAAGUAGAGGACGUCUAACUUGUUUUUGCAGGGCAUGUUGUGAUGUGAUAUGGUCAAGACAUGAUGUGAUAUAAUGUGUUGUAUGAGAUGAUCAUGUUUUCUAACCGAGUUAUCGGCAACUGGCAGGAGCCAUAUGGUUGUCGCUUUAUUGUAUGAGAUGCAAUCGCCAUGUAAUAGUUUUACUUUAUCACUAAGCGGUAGCGAUAGUCGUAAAAGCAAUAAGUUGGCGAGACGACAACGAUACUACGAUGGAGAUCAAGGUGUCGAGCCGGUGACGAUGGUGAUCAUGACGGUGCUUCGGAGAUGGAGAUCACGAGCACGGUGCUUCGGAGAUGGAGAUCACGAGCACGGUGCUUCGGAGAUGGAGAUCACGAGCACGGUGCUUCGGAGAUGGAGAUCACGAGCACGGUGCUUCGGAGAUGGAGAUCACGAGCACGGUGCUUCGGAGAUGGAGAUCACGAGCACGGUGCUUCGGAGAUGGAGAUCACGAGCACAAGAUGAUGAUGGCCAUAUCAUAUCACUUAUAUUGAUUGCAUGUGAUGUUAAUCAUUUAUGCAUCUUAUCUUGCUUUGAUUGACGGUAGCAUUAUAAGAUGAUCUCUCACUAAAAUUUCAAGAUAAAAGUGUUCUCCCUGAGUAUGCACCGUUGCAAAAGUUCUUCGUGCUGAGACACCACGUGUUAAUCGGGUGUGAUAGGCUCUACGUUCAAAUACAACGGGUGCAAAACAGUUGCACACGCGGAAUACUCAGGUUAAACUUGACGAGCCUAGCAUAUAUAGAUAUGGCCUCGGAACACAGAGACCGAAAGGUCGAGCGCGAAUCAUAUAGUAGAUAUGAUCAACAUAGUGAUGUUCACCAUUGAAACUACUCCAGCUCACGUGUUAAUCGGACAUGGUUUAGUUGCUUUGGAUCACGUAAUCACUUAGAUGAUUAGAGGGAUGUCUAUCUAAGUUGGAGUUCUUAAGUAAUAUGAUUAAUUGAACUUAAAUUUAUCAUGAACUUAGUCCUGAUAGUAUUUGGCAAAUUAUGUUGUAGAUCAAUAGCUCGCGUUGUUGCUUCCCUGUUUUAUUUUGAUAUGUUCCUAGAGAAAAUUAUGUUGGAAGAUGUUAGUAGCAAAGAUGUGGAUUGGAUCUGUGAUCUGAGGAUUAUCCUCAUUGCUGCACAGAAAAAUUAUGUCCUUGAUGCACCGCUAGGUGACAGACUUAUUGCAGGAGCAGAUGCAGACGUUAUGAACGUUUGGCUAGCUCAAUAUGAUGACUACUUGAUAGUUUAGUGCACCAUGCUUAACGCCUUAGAAUCGGGACUUCAAAGACGUUUUGAACAUCAUGGACCAUAUAAGAUGUUCCAGGAGUUGAAGUUAAUAUUUCAAGCAAAUACCCGAGUUGAGAGAUAUGAAGUCUCCAACAAGUUCUAUAGCUAAAAGAUGGAGGAGAAUCGUUCAACUAGUGAGCGUGCUCAGAUUGUCUGGGUACUACAAUCGCUUGAAUCAAGUGGGAGUUAAUCUUCCAGAUAAAAUAGUGAUUGACAGAAUUCUCUAGUCACCAUCACCAAGUUAGUAGAACUUCGUGAUGAACUAUAGUAUGCAAGGGAUGACGAAAGUAAUUCCCGAGCUCUUCGUGAUGCUGAAAUCGACGAAGGUAGAAAUCAAGAAAAACAUCAAGUGUUGAUGGUUGACAAGACCACUUCAAGUGUUGAUGGUUGACGAGACCACUAGUUUCAAGAAAAGGGCAAAGGGAUAGAAGGGGAACUUCAAAAAGAACGGCAAGCAAGUUGCUACUCAAGUGAAGAAGCCCAAGUCUGUACCUAAGCCUGAGACUAAGUGCUUCUACUGCAAAGGGACUGGUCACUGGAAGCGGAACUACCCCAAGUAUUUGGUGGAUAAGAAAGAUGGCAAAGUGAACAAAGGUAUAUUGGAUAUACAUGUUAUUGAUGUGUACUUACCAGUGUUUAUAGCAACCCCUCAGUAUUUGAUACUGGUUCAGUUGCUAAAGAGUAGUAACUCGAAAACGGGAGUAGCAGAAUAAACAGAGACUAGUAAAAGGCGAGGUGACGAUGUGUGUUGGAAGUAGUUCCAAGAUUGAUAUGAUCAUCAUCGCACACUCCCUAUACUUUCGGGAUUAGUGUUGAAAAUAAAUAAGUGUUAUUUGGUGUUUGCGUUGAGCAUGAAUAUGAUUUGAUCAUGUUUAUUGCAAUACGGUUAUUCAUUUAAGUUAGAGAACAAUUGUUGUUCUGUUUACAUGAAUAAAAACCUUCUAUGGUCAUACACACCAACGAAAAUGGUUUGUUGGAUCUCGAUCGUAGUGAUACACAUAAUCAUAAUAUUGAAGCCAAAAGAUGCAAAGUUAAUAAUGAUAGUGCAACCUAUUUGUGGCACUGCCGUUUAGGUCAUAUUGGUGUAAAGCGCAUGAAGAAACUCCAUACUGAUGGGAUUUUGGAAUCACUUGAUUAUGAAUCACUUGAUGCUUGCGAACCGUGCCUCAUGGGCAAGAUGACUGAAACGCCGUUCUCCGGAACUAUGGAGAGAGCAACAGAUUUGUUGGAAAUCAUACAUACAGAUGUAUGUGGUCCGAUGAAUAUUGAGGCUCGUAGCAGGUAUCAUUAUUUUCUGACCUUCACAGAUGAUUUGAGCAGAUAUGGGUACAUCUACUUAAUGAAACAAGAGUCUGAAACAUUUGAAAAGUUCAUAUAAUUUCAGAGUGAAACGGAAAAACAUCGUAACAAGAAAAUAAAGUUUCUACGAUAUGAUCGUGGAGAAGAGUAUUUGAGUUACGAGUUUGGCCUUCAGUUAAAAGAAUGUGAAAUAGUUUCACUACUCACGCCACCUGGAACACCACAGCAUAAUGGUGUGUCCGAACGUCAUAACCGUACUUUAUUAGAUAUGGUGCGAUAUAUGAUGUCUCUUACCGAUCUACCACUAUCUUUUUGGGGUUAUGCAUUAGAGACAGCUGCAUUCACGUUAAAUAAGGCACCAUCAAAAUCCGUUGAGACGACACCUUAUGAACUGUGGUUUGGCAAGAAACCAAAGUUGUCAUUUCUUAAAGUUUGGGGUUGCGAUGCUUAUGUGAAAAAGUUUCAUCCUGAUAAGCUCAAACCCAAAUCGGAGAAAUGUGUCUUCAUAGGAUACCCAAAGGAGACAGUUGGGUACACCUUCUAUCACAGAUCCGAAGGCAAGACAUUCGUUGCUUAGUAUGCCUUUCUAGAGAAGGAGUUUCUCUCGAAAAAAGUGAGUGGGAGGAAAGUAAAACUUGAUGAGGUAAAUGUACCUGCUCCCUUAUUGGAAAGUAGUUCAUCACAGAAAUCUGUUCAUGUGACUUCUACACCAAUUAGUGAGGAAGUUAAUGAUGAUGAUCAUGUAACUUCAGAUCAAGUUACUACCAAACCUCGUAGGUAAACCAGAGUAAGAUCCGCACCAGAGUGGUACGGUAAUCAUGUUCUGGAGGUUAUGUUACUAGACCAUGACGAACCUACGAACUAUGAAGAAGCGAUGGUGAGCCCAGAUUCCCCGAAAUGGCUUGAGGCCAUGAAAUCUGAGAUAAGAUCCAUAUAUGAGAACAAAGUGUGGACUUUGGUUGACUUGCCCGAUGAUCGGCAAGCAAUAAAAAAUAAAUGGAUCUUCAAGAGGAAGACGGACGCUGAUAGUAGUGUUACUAUCUACAAAGCUAGAAUUGUCGCAAAAAGGUUUUCGACAAGUUCAAAGUGUUGACUACGAUGAGAGUUUCUCACUCGUAUCUAUGCUUAAGUCUGUCUGAAUCAUGUUAGCAAAUUGCCGCAUUUUAUCUGGCAAAUGGAUAAACAAAACUGCAUUCCUUAAUGGAUUUAUUAAAGAAGAGUUGUAUAUGAUGCAACUAGGAGGUUUUGUCAAUCCUAAAAGUGCUAACAAAAUAUGCAAGCUCCAGCGAUCCAUCUAUGGACUGGUGCAAGCAUCUCGGAGUUGGAAUAUACGCUUUGAUAAGUUGAUCAAAGGAUAUAGUUUUAUACAGACUUGCGGUGAAGCCUGUAUUUACAAGAAAGUGAGUGGGAGCACUACAGCAUUUCUGAUAAGUAUAUGUGAAUGACAUAUUGUUGAUCGGAAAUAAUGUAGAAUUAUUCUGCAAAGCAUAAAGGAGUGUUUGAAAGGAGUUUUUCAAAAGAAAGACCUCGGUGAAGCUGCUUACAUAUUGAGCAUCAAGAUCUAUAGAGAUAGAUCAAGACGCUUGAUAAGUUUUUUCAAUGAGUACAUACCUUAAUAAGAUUUUGAAGUAGUUCAAAAUACAAUAGUCAAAGAAAGAAGUUCUUGACUGUGCUACAAGGUAUGAAAUUGAGUAAGACUCAAAGCCCGACCACGGCAGAAGAUAGAACGAGAAUGAAAGUCAUUCCCUAUGCUAUGGCCAUAGGUUCUAUAAAGUAUGUCAUGUUGUGUACCAAAUCUAUUGUAUACCCUACACUAAUUUUGGCAAGGGAGUACAAUAGUGAUCUAGGAGUAGAUCACUGGACAGCGGUCAAAAUUAUCCUUAGUGGAAUAAGGAAAUGUUUCUCGAUUAUGAAAGUGAUAAAAGGUUCGUCGUAAAGGGUUACGUCGAUCCAAGUUUUGACACUAAAUCUAGACGACUCUAAGUCUCGGUCAAGAUACAUAUUGAAAGUGGGAGCAAUUAGCUAGAGUAGCUCCGUACAGAGCAUUGUAGACAUAGAAAUUUGCAAAAUACUUACGGAUCUGAAUGUGACAGACCCGUUGACUAAAAUUAUCUCACAAGCAAAACAUGAUCACACCUUAGUACUCUUUGGGUGUUAAUCACAUAGCGAUGUGAACUAGAUUACUGACUAUAAACCCUUUGGGUGUUGAUCACAUGACGAUGUGAACUAUGGGUGUUAAUCACAUGGUGAUGUGAACUAUUGAUGUUAAAUCACAUGGCGAUGUGAACUAGAUUAUUGACUGUAGUGCAAGUGGGAGACUGAAGGAAAUAUGCCCUAGAGGCAAUAAUAAAGUAUUAUUUAUUUCCUUGUAUCAUGAUAAAUGUUUAUUAUUCAUGCUAGAAUUGUAUUAACCGGAAACAUAAUACAUGUGUGAAUAUAUAGACAAACAGAGUGUCACUAGUAUGCCUCUACUUGACUAACUCGUUAAUCAAAGAUGGUUAUGUUUCCUAGCCAUAGACAUAAGUUGUCAUUUGAUUAACGAGAUCACCUCAUUAGGAGAAUGACGUGAUUGACUUGACCCAUUCCGUUAGCUUAGCACUCGAUCGUUUAGUAUGUUGCUAUUGCUUUCUUCAUGACUUAUACAUGUUCCUAUGACUAUGAGAUUAUGCAACUCCCGUUUACCGGAGGAACACUUUGUGUGCUACCAAACGUCACAACGUAAAUGGGUGAUUAUAAAGGUGCUCUACAGGUGUCCCCAAAGGUACUUGUUGGGUUGGCGUAUUUCGAGAUUAGGAUUUGUCACUCCAAUUGUCGGAGAGGUAUCUCUGGGCCCACUCGGUAAUGCACAUCACUAUAAGCCUUGCAAGCAUUGUGACUAAUGAGUUAGUUGCGGGAUGAUGUGUUACGGAACGAGUAAAGAGACUUGCCGGUAACGAUAUUGAACUAGGUAUCGAGAUACCGACGAUCAAAUCUCGGGCAAGUAACAUAACGGUGACAAAGGGAACAACGUAUGUUUUAUGCGGUCUGACCGAUAAAGAUCUUCGUAGAAUAUGUGGGAGCCAAUAUGGGCAUCCAGGUCCCGCUAUUGGUUAUUGACCGUAGACGUGUCUCGGUCAUGUCUACAUAGUUCUCGAACCCGUAGGGUCCGCACGCUUAACGUUACGAUGACAGUUUUAUUGAGUUUUGAUGUACCGAAGGAGUUCGGAGUCCCGGAUGAGAUCGGGGAUAUGACGAGGAGUCUCGAAAUGGUCGAGACGUAAAGAUCGAUAUAUUGGACGACUAUAUUCGGACUUCGGAAAGGUUCCGAGUGAUUCGGGUAUUUUUCGGAGUACCGGAGAGUUACGGGAAUACGUAUUGGGCCUUAUUGGGCCAUACGGGAAAGAAGGAAAAGGGCCUCAAGGGUGGCCGCACCCCUCCCCUUGGUCUGGCCCGAAUUGGACUAGGGAAGGGGGGCGCCUCCUUCCUUCCUUCUCUUUUUCCCUUCCUCUUUUCCUAUUCCAUAUGGGAGGUGGAAUCCUACUAAGACUAGGGAGUCCUAGUAGGACUCCACACUUGGUGCGCCCCCUCCUAGGGCCGGCCUCCUCCUCCCUUGCUCCUUUAUAUACGGGGGCAGGGGGCACCCCAUAGACACAACAAUUGAUCCUUGAGAUCUCUUAGCCGUGUGCGGUGCCCCCCUCCACCAUAUUACACCUCGAUAAUACCGUUGCGGAGCUUAGGCGAAGCCCUACGUCGGUGGAACAUCAUCAUCGUCACCACGCCGUCGUGCUGACGAAACUCUCCCUCAACACUCGGCUGGAUCGGAGUUCGAGGGACAUCAUCGAGCUGAACGUGUGUAGAACUCGUAGGUGCCGUGCGUUCGGUACUUGAUCGGUCGGAUCGUGAAGACGUACGACUACAUCAACCGCGUUGUGAUAACGCUUCCGCUGUCGGUCUACGAGGGUACGUGGACAACACUCUCCCCUCUCGUUGCUAUGCAUCACCAUGAUCUUGCGUGUGCGUAGGAAAUUUUUUGAAAUUACUACGUUACCCAACAGCAACUAGGGAAAAACGAUCAAGGCUUAGUUGCAUACCAAUGGUGGACUUGCAAUUAGGAUGAGAAAAAGGUCGGGCCUAGUUGUGAGUCGUUGAUUGACUUGCAACUACGGCACAAAAGAUUAGGAGCUUAGUUGUGAGUCGAUGGUUGUCUUGCAACUGGAAUAAUAAAGGAGCAGUCCGAAUUGCGAGUCGAUGGUUGCCUUGCAACUCAGACAAAAAAAGCUCGGCCCCUAACUGCGAGACGAUGGCGGACUUGCAACUGAGUAGGAAAAAAAGUCUGACCCAGUUACAAGUUGAGGGUGUACUGACAACUAAUGGAAAAAAAAUCAGGCACAGUCAUGACGCAAAAGGAACGUCGAACCAGUUGCGAGUGAAGGGUGUAACUGCAACUAGGGCAAAAGCAAGAUCAAGGGCACGGUUGCAUGCCAAUGGUGGACUUCCAACUCAAAAAAAAGGUCAGACCCAGUUGCCAGUCAUUGGUUGACUUGAAACUGGGACACAAAAGGGCCGGGCCUACUUGUGAGUUACUGAGUUGCAACUGCGACUAAAAAAUGAUAAAGAGCCUAGUUGUGAGUCGAUGAUUGUCUUGCAACUGCGAUAAAAAAAAGGACAGGACAGGCUGCGAGUUGAUGGUUGACAUGCAACUCGAACAAAAAAAUCAGUCCCUAGUUACGAGUCGAUGACGGACUUGCAACUAAGGGGAAAAAAUCAGGUCCAGUUGCAUGUUGAGGGUGGAUUUGCAACUAAUGCAAAUAAAGAGUCGGGUGCAGUCGCGAUAUAAAAGAAAACACCGAGCCCAAUUGUGAGUCGAUGAUGGACUUGCAGCUGUGACAAAAAUGGGUUAUGGCUAGUUGCGUAACGAAGGGUGGACAUGUAAUUAGGACAAAAAACAAGUAGUCCCAGUUGCAUGCCAGGGUUGGACUUGCAACUGGGACAACAGGGUUGGGACCCCCCCUAGCUGCAUGCCGAUGAACUUGCAAUUGGGACAAAAAUGAAUCAGACUUGGUCACGUAUGGAAGGAUGCACUCACAAUUAGGACCCAAAAAAGAUGAGCCCAGUUACAUAUCGAGAGUAGACUUGUAACUAAGACAUGCUGCCGGGGCGAGUUCCACGUUGAGGGUGGACAUGCAAGCAGGCGCGUGAGCAUGGGUUGAGAGAAAUGUGUGUCGAAAGUGUGUAUGUAACUAGGUCGGGUCAAGUUACGUGUCAACGAUGUACAUGCAAUUGACCACAAUUACUUUUCACUGACUGACACAGAAGAUUCAUUAAUAUAUUCUUACUAAGAAAAAAUAUGUAUUUGAAAAUUGUUCAUGAAUUUAAAAAAAAUAUGAAAAUUUUCACAUUUGUUUUUUCAAAAUUAAAAAAUAAAGAUAUAUUCAAAAAACCAGGAAUUUGUUUUUUUACAAAUUUAAAAGAAUGUUUACUCAUUCAAAAAGUAUUCAUGACUUAAAAAUGUUCACAGAUUUUAAAAAAAGUUUACAGAUUAAAACUAGAAAAUAAACAGAGAAACAUUAAAAAAGUUAAAAAAAACAAAGUAAACAUGAAAAAAGAAGAAAAAAGAGAGAAAAAAACAAGAUGGGUACGUCCAUGUAUUCUCAACUAAAGUUUAUUCCCAACAGCUCCCCUCCAUCCCACAAAACAAAAAGAUACAGAAGAACCCAGCAGCCCAAAGAAGUACAAUACGACGAAGGCCAGGUGGUGAAGAAAAUGGCGACAGCCACAUGCUGGCGGAAAGAAGAAAAACGGAUGGCAAUCAAACAUGAUGAGGAGGCGUGCGACAAAAACAACGUCAGAUCAAAAAAUAGCAUGAUAUUUAAAGCAUCUAGAUCCUACGGCCAAAGACUUAGAUGUGACUUUGUUAAAUCUCUUCUAGAUGAGAUUUAGCAAAACCGAUUAUUUUUCUCAUGUAUGUUGAGAUGGGUCUUUUUUUGCGAAAUAUGUUAAGGUCCUACUUAAAGACGGAAUUUGAACAAAAUACAUCCAUGUCCUUGGGAUGUUGAAGUUUUUCUCUUCCUUCAUCUACAAUGAUGUGUCGUGAGCAAAGCUCGUUGUCGGCUUUGGGCAUGCGGUUUAGCAGAACAAACUUGUUUAAACUCCGGAGUUUGUAGAAGCAACGAUCGGAAGUUGUAGAUGAAGAAAAGACGUUAGUGGCCGCGAUCUAGAGUAGCAAAUCAUUGUUCCAAAGAAAGAAAGAAAGUAGGAGAGGGCUUAUAGAACAUCCCAAGUCUAUCCAGACAAAGUCUGGGGACACAAAUCUCACACGUUCUCAACCUACAGGUGAAAAAGGCAGACCUGGAAGAACUAAACAUAGGGACACACUAUCCUACGCAUGCCUCUUGAUGAUACGAAGAAGCACCGCCAGAGCGAGAGUGAGGCAGGAAGACCUUAUUCUGUCGAUGACGAUGGGGUCGUCUCAUCAUCGUCGAACAAAACACAAAGCAUUAGUUUAUGCCUAACCCUACCACCACCCGAACCGAAGCGUUGGGUCCUCACCACCUCUCACCCCAGAGCGACAAACUAAAGGAGAAGGGACCAACGGUCUCGCCAGGAAGGGGGUAGAUCAGGCGCCGCCCCUAGACACCUAGGUCAUGGGAGCUAGGAAGAGGGAAACGAUUCUUUAACGGGCUUAUAUAGUUUUUUUUGGCAGAUUAUUUUAACAAAGUACAAUCACUUAUAUAGUUGAUUACUUAGUUUAGCAUCCAGGAUGUUCCAACAUUUUACUUGGAUGCACUAAGACAUUUUUUGCUUCAUGCAUGUUUGAAGAUGACAUGUACUUACUCUGGAAUUGUCUUCUCUCAUUUGUUAUUUUCUUGAGCAAUGCUAUUCUCACAUUUAGCUCCAAGCGGUUAUUAUCCCUAUUGUAGUCGUUUUCUUUUAAGUGUAUGAAAGAAUAGGACUUUUGUAUUUAUUAGUUUGUUAAAUCAAAGAGCACCAUGCAUCUAAAAGGAAACCGAGCAGCCUACAUCAUAAUUCCAUUGCUUGAUUUCUAGAAGGGAAAAAAGGGAGAAAUGACUGUCUCUGAACUCUGUGCUAGGUUUAAAUUGUCAUGUUUACGACCAUAAAGGCGUGCCUUGCCGCGCCCGCCCACCUUAGAGACAUUUUUACAGAAUAAUAAGACAUCUUAAUGAAAGAAUGAUAGAACUAAAUGAGAAAAAAUAGAUAUUGGACUAUUUGGAACCGUCACAAUUUUGUUCUAUCUCCCACCAUAUUAUUUAAUUAUAUCUUCAAAAUAACCAUGCAUCUAAUUUUAGAUAUAGAGUCCGUACAAAAGUAAGUUAUAAUAUGUGCCAAAGGUGGGCAAAAUAAACUCUUUCUUCACAUGCAUCAUAGAAAAGAACAUCUUCACGCGUGUUGCCACGCCCUUCUACCUAGAGAGAAACGUAAUAAUAUGUGGGAGAUUUGGACUAUAUACAUAUAUAAAAACACAUAUUCAUAUUCUUUUCCUAUAACUCUUGAAUUGCGGAUUUCCGUAAAAAAAACAGUAAUCUUGGAAAACUUUCAAUUAUUUUAAAGACAAAAUCAUUCAAACAAGUCAAAUUUUCGAUCAAAUUUUGUUGAGUUUGAGCAAAUCAUAUAAAAAAUGAAAAAUACAUGUAUGUAUUUGGUUCUACCGGUGGUGGCCAGAAAAGCAUCAAGAGUUGGUUGUGUAGUAUACCUGAUAGAUCUCUCUCGUGAGGUGUGAGAGGUGAGAGGAACAUGAGUAGUUGCGUCAGGCUAAAUGUAAAUUUAAAUGAAUUUUUCGUUCAAUAAUAUGUAGACUGGUGAGCAGCCGACCGAGGAGUCUCUCGUACGUGUGCAGGGGCAGAAAGAGGCUCGCAACGAAGAUGUGUUGUCCCCCUUUGACUACCACCAGGCUAGGUCCGGCCCAUCUUUUAUUUCCAGCCCGAUCGACCAUAACAGGCCUAGGUAAGUUUGUGGAGUUCUCUCAAAAAAGAGGAAAGUUUGUGGCGUUGUCUCAAAAAAAAAAGGUAAGUUUGUGGAGCAGCGGCCCUAGAAACACCAGGCGAGGCUAGAGGACAACCGAUCGAUCUAAUCAAACGGUCAUGGACGUCAAAACGCUGUGAGCAGCCGUAACUCGAUCCGUUAUACUGUUUCUUAAUUAAUAUCAGCAAAAAUCUGGGUUAACGAAGUGAUCAAUAUAAUAGUCAACAAAACCAGUUUGAUAUGUACUUAAAUGCCCAAGAUCUUGUAAUUUUGAAUCAAGUAUUGUGAUUAGAGAAUCAAUUGACAUUUUAUUUAUUUAUUGCGGAAGAAUUGACAUUAUUUGUUGUAGCAUGUUAUUUUUCACUUUUAGAUUUCUAUCUCUUAUGCAAUGAAAUGAGUGGCCCCGUAAAAGUUAUGUUUCCCCUCACUGAAGACUACCCACAUGUUUCCCUCCAAAGAAAGUUCCUUACACGUUUCUCUUAAGUUUUUUAAUGCAAGCAUCUAGUAUAAAACUGAGCAAAAUUAUUGCUAUUGUCAGACUGCUUUUGUAAAAUAAGAUGUUUUGAUGAAUCUCUUUCUGCAAUUUUGGAUAUUCCAUAGGAAUGUCUAUCUGAAGUAGACCGGUCGUUUGAUCAGAUUUUGUUUUUUCUUUCCACGGUCACUCGCCUAUUGUUUGCCUAAAAGGUAUCAGGAUAUUAGCCAGGAAAGGUCGAUGAGCAGUGGAGCAUGGUGGCAGUUUUACCAGGAACCACACUACAAGCUCACCACAGCGCAAGUUUCCACCAAAAUAUGUACGAGUCACAACCCACAGGCCACAUGUCAAUGAGUCCAUCCAAACAUAGAGAUGGGCAUGCUGAAAAUCAGAAAACCAAAACCAGGUUUGACACAGCAAGGUAGAAGGCAAACAAUGAAUUAGACACACCAACUUUUGAGAUGAAGACGAUUAGUUUGAAAGCGACAGGUUUUAGGCAAGCUGGCUUCCAAGCAGGAGGUCAGCCUGGACACAAUGAACCAUACAGACAGAGUACAUCGACGCAGGUGGUAAACUGCUGAAACCAAACACUUCCAGUUUUCACCACAUGGAUAACAGAGAUACAGGCCAAUUCAUCGCAGCAUCAUUAACAGAGAUCACUUCCCGCCAAACAAGUAGCCCAGGGACGAGCCACCGCCGGGAGCAGCAUGAACCUUGGUUGAAGGACGGUCCUGCGAGGGUUAACGGAGUGAUCAGCCAUUUCUCAGCUCACAUGGUAAACAAAGACAAAAAAAUCAGAGCCCAAAAAUGAGGAACGAAUACCUUUUCAAUACUCAAAAAUCAAAACAUUCAAGUAGUCCGAAUAACAAAAGAUUCUUUAACCCAUUUCUUUAGCAUUACAUUUCAGGGGGAAAAUGAACCGUUACAUUCUUUUUAAACUAUUAACUAUAGUAACAAAUAACACGGCGAGAUAAAUUCUUGGUGGCUUAACAUGAACCCCACAUAGGUAGUUGCAAAAACUGUACUGGGCAGAUGACUCUUUUAGCAAAAAGAAUUAAUGAUGGAGGCUAACAGUGAUUAAACUUAUGACAAUGGAAACUUCUGAUAUGCCUCACAGAUGAAAUUAAAGGGGAAAUAGCUGGAUCGAAUUGGGUUCAUUACAAGGAAAAAAAAACAUACCGUAAGGAAGUUGCCCGUGUUCUGGCCAUCUGCACGGUAGUAGUUGUUCGCCCGGCUACCUGGAAUGCCAGCUGGAAUCUGCUUGGUUACAUCGGCAGCUGCCAGUGCUGGUUUCUCAGCAGGUGCUGGCUUCGCAGCUGGUGCUGCAGCAGGCUUUGCAGGCUCACCAUCUCCAAACAGGUAACCCAGAGAACUUUGACCACCUCCAGCACUCCCGCCACGACUCAUCUUGACUGUAAGAUAAAUAGGUAAAGUGCAACAUAUGAGUGAACAAGUUCAACAUGAUUGUCAGAGUGCAAUACAUUAAGAAACAGCAAAUGAAAUCAUCAGGGAUAAAAGUUUCCGAAAAAAUUCAGAUCUCAGAGAUAAACUACAUAAGCCAAGUGAAUCUUGAAAUCAUAUGUCCAUACCGGAUAUAUUUGACCACCAGUUGCAACAAAAAUGUUUAGAUAGUGGCAUUUCAAGAAAUAGCGUGGUAAUUUAGGAGCAGAAGACAGAAAAAAGCAUGCAUGCUGAACCAAGUCUUCAGACAAGAAUACUUGGUAAGAUUAAGUAACCAGUGCUGCUUAGACUGAAUGAAGUCAAACAGGGUCAGAUAUUAUCACAAGCCACAAGGUAUGCUGUCAAUUAAAGCAUAUAAUCUACACAGGUUAGGUAAGAUCCACUUCUGUGAAAAAAGAAAGAUAAAACUCUGAACAUGAGGAAAUAUAGUUUGAGUGCGGCCAUGAAAGAAUAUCUAACAGUUGCUUUUAAUAAGAACUUCGAACAAAGGGCAUAGAGUGUGCUUGCAGGACAUGUUGCUAAGGAUAAUGGUGGUUACCAGUCAAUACAGGGCAACCUGGAAAAUGAGGCAAUCCAAACCCAAAAUAUAACUCAAUCCAGGGCAACUAAUCAACAUCAAACAGUAGAUAUCCGCAGUAUUGCGUUUAGUGAAAACAUUUAGAUCUCUGUUAGAGUGCAUAAUCAAUAGAGGAGAUGAUAGCAUCUCGAAACCUUAUAUGGUUAAACCAAUGACAAAGACAAAUUUCAGCAUCUUUGGGUUGAGAAGAUAAAAAUAAGAGGGCAACAGGUCCCCCACCACGAAGUGCGGUUUGGAAACACGAUGAAGAAGUGAACUACACAUUCAUACAGACCAGCAAGUUAAU
rnacentral:lncRNA from 1 species